rnacentral:tRNA from 1 species
GGAGAGAUGGCUGAGUGGUCGAAGGCGGCGGUCUCGAAAACCGUUAUACCCUCCGGGUAUCAGGGGUUCAAAUCCCCUUCUCUCCGCCA